UACAGAGGGUGCAAGCGUUAAUCGGAAUUACUGGGCGUAAAGGGCUCGUAGGCGGCCAACUAAGUCAGACGUGAAAUCCCCCGGCUUAACCAGGGAACUGCGUCUGAUACUGGAUGGCUUGAGUUUGGGAGAGGGAUGCGGAAUUCCAGGUGUAGCGGUGAAAUGCGUAGAUAUCUGGAGGAACACCGGUGGCGAAGGCGACAUCCUGGACCAACACUGACGCUGAGUGAGCGAAAGCCAGGGGAGCAAACGGG
rnacentral:rRNA from 1 species